GUCGUUGUUUUUGUUUUGCGGAUCGGCGCGCCAAAGCAACAAAACGUUUGGUUGUUGCGAGGGCUGAUUAGCACGGCACAAGUAGCGGGGAACUAAGCUAUGCUUGAAGGCAAAUAAAUGUUUUUGUAUUUCUUUAUAUAUUGCGGUUUUUACAAAAUAUUAUUUUUUAUUUAUAAUUUGUUUUAUGUUUUGUUUUCAACAAUAAACGCGUCUCAAUUCCUCAAGCGGCAAACAAAAAAAAAAAA